AUUGAACGCUGGCGGUAGGCCUAACACAUGCAAGUCGAACGGCAGCACAGUAAUAGCUUGCUCUUACGGGUGGCGAGUGGCGGACGGGUGAGGAAUACAUCGGAGUCUACUUUUUCGUGGGGGAUAACGUAGGGAAACUUACGCUAAUACCGCAUACGACCUACGGGUGAAGGCAUGGGAUCUUCGGACCUUGCGCGAUUGAAUGAGCCGAUGUCGGAUUAGCUAGUUGGCGGGGUAAAGGCCCACCAAGGCGACGAUCCGUAGCUGGUCUGAGAGGAUGAUCAGCCACACUGGAACUGAGACACGGUCCAGACUCCUACGGGAGGCAGCAGUGGGGAAUAUUGGACAAUGGGCGCAAGCCUGAUCCAGCCAUACCGCGUGGGUGAAGAAGGCCUUCGGGUUGUAAAGCCCUUUUGUUGGGAAAGAAAAGCAGCAGGUUAAUACCCCGCUGUUCUGACGGUACCCAAAGAAUAAGCACCGGCUAACUUCGUG
rnacentral:rRNA from 1 species